rnacentral:lncRNA from 1 species
AGAGCAAUGGGGACGGGCAGGGACAGAGCUGCGGGCUGAGGUUCCUCCGUUCGGCGAAGCCCCUUCUCUCUGCCCCCGCCUGCUCUGGGCUUUCUUGGCUAUGUCUGCUCCUGACAGGAGGGAUGUGUGUUGCCAGGGGUGGGGGCUUGGCGUGUGUGCGUGUGAGAAUAUGUGUGUGUGUUUAAAAUACAAAAAAAAAAAAAAAAGAAGCGUGCCUAUACUCAGCCGCGAGACGCUGGCCAGCCUCCAUCCGUGCCAACUCCCCUCCGAGCUGGCACUGGGGACUCCGGAGGCACGGGGAGGAGGAAGGUGCGGGCAGCUUGCGGUGAGGAUGGACGCGUGCCACCGACGUAUGCCAGCGGCUGCAGGGGGCCAAACGCCUAUCCACAAAACCCACCGCGAUCGCUGGCAGCCGUGGCGGGAGGCGGCAGCAGUUGGCAGAGGUGCCAGGGAGGGCCGGCUGGGGCAGGUGGAUCCUGGCAGCAGCAGCGCAGCUGCCCCUGCACAGGGCUGGUCUUUGUCAGGGGCGCAGCCUUGCUGGGCCACAGCAGAACAGGGGACCCUGCUGCCUGCCGCAGCCCUCCUCCCUCCACCUCCGAAUUUCACAGUCCCUGCUUCCCGCGCCGGCUCGGAGCUCCCUAGAGACUCCUGCCAGAUGUUCCUGGCAGCCUCACAUCGCUUCCCUAAUGAAAUAUUCAUGGGCCUUUCUGCCUCUUGACAUAAAGCCUUCUGCAGCUCCACGCACCAUGGAGAGGGAGCUGGCCUCCCAACAAACCCUAGGAAGGAGUGGGCGCCCGGCCAGCCCCUCCCCCUGUGCCAACCCCGGCCGCCCACUGUGCCUCCCGAGACAGUGGCUGGGCCUCCGCCUCCCCUUUGCUCUGCUAAGGGUCAGGGGUCCAGCUGCUGCGCCCUCCCCCAGCCCAGAGGCCUCCCUGCCGCCUCCGCCUCCCGAGAGCCCAGUGCCAGCUGUGCGGGCACAUCAGCCCUGGGGCUGGGCUCUGGAGGGAGGGCAGCCGCCACCCCGCAUAGGAGGGAGCCAGUACCUGUGUGUCCAGGACCACCCUCACAGGCCCAGGGAGGAGGGGUUCUCCCUACCUCUUACUUCAGUACCUUGGUGGCCAAGAGCUCCUUACCCCAUGCCAACAAGACCAGGCUCCUGGAGUCCACCUCGCCCCUAGCUGCAUGGUGGCCAGCCUGGUCUUGCAGUCACCCGAUGUCAUCCGUCCACACCUCUGUCCCUGUGCUCACGCACACGGUGUGGGCACCACGCCGGGUUCUGUGCGUGGAGAUCAGACUUCAUGACGUUGAGCAAAACCUGCCCAGCCUUGCGCUCCAGGUAUUCACGCCAGCCCCCACCAGGUCAUGUGGGCGGAGGACCUCGGGGCAGGGGUGGUGAGGGCAAGAAGGACAAGACGGAUGGAAAGUUCCAGGGCCUGGGAACUGUGUGAGGAGUAGAAAGCGGCCAGUCAGUGAGUCCUACACAGAGGGGACCUUUGUGCCCCAGGUCAAAGGAGAAGGGAGCGGGCCCCAGCCGAGUCCACACCAGCCUCUGCUCGGUCCACAGGCCCUGUCUGGCUCUGCUAGGUCUCCUCAGUCAGGAGGUCCAUGAGACCCCGGCCCCGGGUUCUGGUCUGUAGGUGGUGGCCACAGCGAGGCCCCUCUGAGCGGGAGUCUGCCCCACAUGGGGUGCCCUCUCCACGCGCCUGCGUGGCUCACCCUGGGCUCUGCUCUGCUGUGCAGGCAGGGGCCCAAAAGGCUUACCCGGGGGAUCUAGGGCUGCCCCAGUCUCUGUGAUUCCCGCGCCCCCUUGCUCCUGGCCUCUGGGUCAAGCCUUUGUCUUUAGCGGUCAUCUCGACCUUAACUGUCACCUACAGUGGCAGGGAAACAGUUACCCUACCAUUCACAGAGACAGUCUCAGCCUCCACAUUUCGGGAGACAGAAGUUCAGAGAGGCCAUGUUGCUUCCCUGAGGCCGCAGAGCCAGAAAAGAAGCUGCCUGGGCGCAUCUAUCCAGGAGCCCCGGCAUCGUCACCAGGGCCACACAAGCAGCGAGGACCCUCCCGGGAACCAGCUCCCUGACUGGGACGCCCCAGCCCUCCUGAGCUCACUGCCCAGGGAUCCGGCCAGUGCCCCUCCCCCAUGCGGGCAGUGGGCUGGGACGCGCGGGGGGAGGGGGCUUGGGCCGCGUCGUCCCUCCGCCUCCCCAGGUCCCAGCCGUCUUGCUCCCUGAGCUGCUGGCGGGGUAAUAAGCUCUGCGUGUGGUGUGGAAAUAAAGCACGUUCCACGGAACAAAUGGUGUUAAUGUGCAGAAGCACUGCAGCCCGGAGUUACCCAGCGCCUGGAGGGCGGCGCGGCAGCUGCACCAGAAUGAGCGGCUGCGCGGAGAAUCAGCGAGGCCAUACGUCCCCGUCCCCGUGGAGGGACAAAGCAUCCCAGCCCUGGCCCCCAGCAGCGCCGGCCCUCCAGGCGGGAGGCGGUUCCAGGAAGUGAAGUGAGCAGGUGCUGGGACUCCCCUCCCCUCCUGGAGGCGCCUGCCCAGAGUAGUCAGUGACCACCCCUAGGUCCCACCUGACGGCCCUGCCUGGCCAGGUGUGGUGGCCACUGGGACAGCCUCCCUCAGACCCGAGGCCACUGCCUGUGGGGUCCAGCGGCCUUGUCCUGUCUCAGCUGCCAUCACCCCACCAGGCCCCCAAAAUGUGCUCUGGGGCCCAUCCCGCCACAAAGCCUGGGGUCUCACUGCUCCUCUCCUAGAACGGCCACUUUUCUUCUUUACGCAGGGGUCACGCUCCAGGCCUUUCUCCAAGCCCUCCCCGCGCUGGGACGCAUUUACCCGCCUGCCUGUUGACUUCGGCUGGCACCCACUCCUGGGCUGCUCAGAGCUGCUGCUCCCUGUUGAUGAGCACUGUAGGUGGCUUCGAGAUGCACGCCUCGGGACGAUCUGCCUUCCUCCCCCGCCUGCCAUUCCCGCACUGACAAACGUCUGCCCUGGGUGUUAGGAGCGAGGUGCACAUUGCACCUUACAUCCUCAUGGGCGGCUCCAGGAGCCUCACUGCAGCUGAUGAGUACUUAACACCAUCAUCCAUCUGUGUGGCCGUUGGGGCUGGCACAGAAGCUCUGGAUGCCUCUACCUGGAAACCAGGGCUGUUCUCCCUGGAUGGCAGGAAGGAAGCAGGUGGGAGGCGGGCGGAGGUGCUUGUUCCACCGGCACUCCUGGGUUCUGAGGACAUGGCACUUCCCCGCCUGUGUCUUGCUUUGGCCAUAGGUUCUGAGCUUCUGCUUCUCCUCUGUGGGUACGAGGGCCGCUCUGGCAUUAUGUCUUCUAGACCUGCGCCUCCUUCAGACGUCAGGGCCGUGCACUCAGACACCUCCAGUGAAAGCUUUUGGGGUUUGGAUGGAUGGACAGAUGGACAAAUUAACAGCAUUCUGCACUUGGAAUGACAAAACUUUAGGCAAGAAAAGGGUCAUUGGAGAAUAUCUAGUCCAACACUCUAAUGGGAUAGAGAGGGAAACUGAGGCCAGCAGAAAGCAUGUCACCUGACCCAGUCACAGCCCUUGGAUACAGAGGGAAACUGAGGCCAGCAGAAAGGAUGUCACUGGACCCAGUCAGCCCUUGGAUAGAGAGGGAAACUGAGGCCAGCAGAAAGUGUGUCACCAGACCCAGUCAGCCCUUGGAUAGAGAGGGAAACUAACGCCAGCACAAAGGAUGUCACCGGACCCAGUCAGCCCUUGGCCUAGGACCUGCAGACAGGCCACCUGCUGCUUCUGUGACCCCCACAGCCCAGACUCACACAUCUUCCUCCAGGUCAGGGAGUGAAGGGGUCUGCAGUCCUCUCCAACUGAGGGCAGGGACAGUCUCUACGUCCUGAGACCCCAGGCCCCUGACCUACCUGCCGGCCUGCCUGGCAAGGGCACACCUAUCAGGUUGCACCAUAAGGCCACCGGGCUGGGUCUGACUCACCCACAAUCCAUCAGCCUGCUGGUCUUUACACAUUCUGGGAGAGGCAAGAAUCUCUGUAGUUGCUAAAACACUUCCUCUUGGUUAUUCUGAGAACUAAAAACACACAUUAUUUGAAAGUCUUGGGUUUAGUCUAAUCUAAACCCCUCAGGUCGUGACUUAAGCUCUGGCCUCAGAGGUCUCCAUUUAUGCUUGGAUGAGCCACUCCUUUGGUCUUUGUCCCCUCACUGGAAGGCAUGUCCAUGAGGAAAUGGGGAGAAGAAUAUAGAGCUAUGAACUUGGAAUUUUGGUGUCAGAAGGACCUAGGUUCAAGUUCAGGCUCUAUCACUAGCUAGGGACCUCACUUUCUUCAUCUGUAGACUGACGAUAAUAAUAGUACAUACCUCAAAAGAGCUGUGCAGAUUCAAAGUGAUCCUGUGUCUAAACCUUUCUGUAUGAUGUCUGGUACCAAGUGAAUGCCCAGAAAACGGGUCACCCAGGAGCCCACGGGCCUCAGCGUUGAAGACCCCACAACGGCUGUCUCCAGUGAAUAGGAGCAACCUCAAGCUCUCUCCAUGACGGCCGCAGAGCCUGGAGACCUGGUGCAGACCCCUCCUGCUCCCCCCAGCAGCUUCACAGCAACCAGAUGCAUGGGGUCUGCACCCUGGCAGGCCAGCCCCACACCCAUCACUGCACCCUGGCAGGCCAGCCCCACGCCCAUCGCUGCACCCUGGCAGGCCAGCCCCGCGCCCAUCGCUGCACCCUGGCAGGCCAGCCCCGCGCCCAUCGCUGCACCCUGGCAGGCCAGCCCCGCGCCCAUCGCUGCACCCUGGCAGGCCAGCCCCGCGCCCAUCGCUGCACCCUGGCAGGCCAGCCCCGCGCCCAUCGCUGCACCCUGGCAGGCCAGCCCCGCGCCCAUCCACACGCCUGGGAAACCCCAGCCACACGCCUCCACCCGCUCCCAUCUCAGCAGCACACUGUGACCCAAACACGGGCUGUGGGUUCAGAGACCUGGGUUCCGGAAGUCUAAGCUCAGCUGCUGACUGCCCUGUGACCAACGGGUCAGCCCCCACCCUGCACUUCUGUCCACACAUCGUGGCGACCUGCUGGUCACCGGCCACGCCUGGCACACAGGAUGUGCUCAGUAAAGCCUGGGCUCGUGAGUGCCACGCACAAGUUCAACAGAGGAAGCUGCAGAGCAACGGCUACGCAGGCCAGGACGGGAGGCCCGGGGAGGCCAAGGGCAUGCUGAGGCCAGGACGGGAGGCCCGGGGAGGCCAAGGGCAUGCUGAGGCCAGGAUGGGAGGCCCGGGGAGGCCAAGGGCAUGCUGAGGCCAGGACGGGAGGUCCGGGGAGGCCAAGGGCAUGCUGAGCCCAGGACGGGAGGCCCGGGGAGGCCAAGGGCAUGCUGAGCCCAGGACGGGAGGCCCGGGGAGGCCAAGGGCAUGCUGAGGCCAGGACGGGAGGCCCGGGGAGGCCAAGGGCGUGCUGAGGCCAGGACGGGAGGCCCGGGGAGGCCAAGGGCGUGCUGAGGCCAGGACGGGAGGCCCGAGGAGGCCAAGGGCAUGCUGAGGUCUAGGUGGGAGGCCCAGGGAGGCUAGGGGUGCCCGGAGGUCUGGGCGGGAGGGUGGUGGGAAUACCAAUAGCUGAGCUGCUCUGCAAGUGCUCACAGGCACCCACGGGGGGCCAGCCGAGCACAGGAGUUUGCUGCUGCCAGGAAGACACCGACGUGGCCCAGAACCAGGAAAGCUGCUGCUGCCGUGAGAUCAGGGCUGGUGGGGCCAGACAGCGGCAGGGGCCGAGGACACUCCUGGUCCUAGUGCUGGGAAGUCGGAGCCAGGCGCUUCCUCAGUCCCCCAACCUAGCCAGGCUCCCAGGCCAGCCCCUUGCCAUGGACGCCUCUGCUAGACGUGAGGACAAGAGGCACUGCUGCCAUGGGGCCCUUUCCUGGGUUCAGCCCAGCAUGGUUGAGAUGUGUCCCUGUGGUGUCAGAGAAAAGGAGGGACGUGCGGUUCAGUAACUGGCCCAGAGCGCCCAGAGCCGCACAGCCAGUGACAGAUGCUCAUGGACUACCGGCCUCCUCCCGUCCCUCAGGGGAUUGCAGGUGUAGGGAAAGGGCAUUCCCCGGGGCAGGGGAACUCGAGUGGAGGGCCGGCACUCUGGAGAACUUGAACCCAGGCCGACUCGGUUGCCCUCCCACCUGAGCCGGGAGUAAGGUUGCGCCAAGGAGCAGGCGUGACAUCAGCUCAAACAGGAGGGGAGGGAAGGAGCCCCAGCGCCGCAUCCCCCCUUGCCCAGGCCUCCCUGGGCUCCUCCUGCACAGGAUGGGGUGAGGCCAGGACUGAGAGCAGCCUAUGGGCACUGACCGGAGUCCAGGGAGCCCAGCACUCCCUCCAUGGUCCUCGCCGUCCGACUGCUGGGAUCCACUUGGGGUCAGUGCCCAGUGGGCCUGAGAGCCCCUAGGGCAGAGGACAGACCCACCCCCGCAUCAUGCCCACUCUGCCACACCCAGCUGGGGGAACCUGGACUCGCAGCUGCCCCUCCGAGCUGUGGGUUCCUGAGGAACAAGGGUCAGAGGUGACCUCUCCCCCUCACCUGUUCCUUUGGAGACUGUGAGAUAAAACUGAAUGGAUUCAGAAGCUGAACCGAGGGCAGAGGCCAAGAGGCUACAGGAUGAGUGGGGCCCCGGUGUGUGUACGUGGAGCUGGGCUGUAUGGGAUGGGUGGGGGACCUGGUGUGUGGACAUGGAGCUGGGCUGUAGGGGAUGGGUGGGGGCCCUGGUGUGUGGAUGUGGAGCCGGGAUGUGGUCAGGCUCCCCAGCUGCCCACAAGGGACAGUGCCAUUAGGCGGAUGCUGCCCUUGGGGAAUGGCUUUGGGGUGUCAAGAGGAUCUGGCUCUAGCCCUUGCUCCCCCAGGCCAGCCAGGCUGGUUCCCUCUGUGGGGCCUGGACAUCAUGGGCUGGCCCUGGAGUGGCUGCCGCCUUCCAUCCAUGAACCAGCUUCAUCUCACUGUCAUUAAAAACCCAGGUGUCGGCUGGGUGCGGUGGCUCAUGCCUGUGAUCCCAGCACUUUGGGAGGCCGAGGUGGGUGGAUCACGAGGUCACAUCGAGACCAUCCUGGCUAACACGGUGAAACCCCGUCUCUACUAAAAAUACAAAAAAAUUAGCCGGGCGUGGUGGCGGGCGCCUGCAGUCCCGGCUACUCAGGAGGCUGAG